AGUAGGGGCAUAAAUACCCUAAAAGCACCAAGUCCCAUCUACACUUGGAAGUUAAACAGAAAUAGUCCUGGUUAGUACUUGGAUGGGAGACCACUAACGAAUGUCAUGUGCUGUAGGCU
rnacentral:rRNA from 1 species